CUUGCCCAAAUUCACACAGGCAGAAAAGGGCAAACUGACUCAAAUACCUGUGUCCUGACUCCAGGGUGUUGUGGUGGUUCUGUAGUCUGAGCGUUCCUUCCUCACCUGACUGUACCCUCCCCACUCACCUGAGGACUCUCAGAGAGAGGAAGGUACAGUUCCACACCUGGGAAUGACUUGAAGUAUCCUCUGGGUCAGGAGUAGCUGUGAGCCUAAACAAUUUGGGUUUGUUCUAAAAGCUGGGUUUGACUCAUUACCAUGUGACCGUGGGUGAGUCACCUGACUGCCUGACUAGCUUCGUCACCUGUCCCGCAGGACCUUUGCUGUCUCUGCUUUGCUCUGAGCUGAGUCUCAAUCGAUGUAAGGAAGGGGCGAGGGAUGUUAUGUACACAGCUGGGGAUGUGUAGACCCCUGGUGACCUGUCCAACCUCACCAGUGGAACUGGGCCUGGGGCAGACAAAGGUAGGCAGGGCUGUCCCUCAUCCCCUGCUGUCCUCUGUCUACUUUUCAGAGUGGACGGAGGAGCUGAAGAGGCUGAACGUGCACUUGGCAGACCUGUACCAGUGAGAGAGCCCUGGCCCAUGCUCCCUGCUAGCAGAGGGGUGGAGGGUCCUGGCCAGGGUAGUCAGGAAAUCAAGAUCUGUUCCAGGCUGGGCUUCCCUAGGAAACUGGAUUUGGGGAUCCCUCUGACCCCCUUGGGUUGCAUUGUGACCUCUAGAUCCUUCCUCCUUACCCGCUCAGCACGAACUCAGGAUGCCUGCCCUCUCACACAGGUGUGCACACCCAGCCCAGCAACUCCACCGGGUGCCUGUGGAGUGUCCUCUGACCUCCAUGGGGUCUAGCGAGGUUGUGCCUGGAGCUUGGAGGCACCGUUCCUUUUCUCCUGGGUCAUGUGGCUGUUUUUGCACCAGGCACAUGGAUGGGAGCAGUUAUGGGCUGCAAGUUAUCAACUCCACCAAGAGGGAGAUUCAGGUUCCUGAGCCCAGUUACAGGAUUUUCCACAACCCCUGCAGAGCUCCACUUGUCCUUGUCUGCCAGCGCCCUCUGCUGGUCAAUGCUCCAAAUGACAGCACCGUGCGGCUGCAGGAGGACUGAGUUCAGGGUGAUUUGUGGAGCGUGGCUAGACCCUCAAUCUCCGUUAACCUAAUCUCCAUGAACCCUCCUUGAGACAUGCCUGCCUGUUGGGUCGGGUCCUCAACGUGCCAGACUAGCCAGCUGUGAUCAGCGUCUGGGGGCAGCUAGCUGAUGGCGCUAUGCAGACCUCUACACCAGCUGCCUGCCUCAACUUCCUGAACCACCCGCUCAGCUUGCUGUAUCUGGCGGUCCUGGAGCUGGUGGGUCCCUGCAGAGCCUCUCUGGCUAUCCCUGACCCUCUGCCCCAGGAGGAGCCGCUGGUCCCCAGCCCUGCCAAGAGCUUCUGAGGUCACCAGGCCCCAUCUCCCACCUCCAGGCACAAGUGGCUCAAAGCCUUGCAGAUGCCCCAUGAGUCUGCUGUGGAGCAGGAACGGGUUAACCAGCAUCCCCUCUCCUGCCCUGUCUUCUACAGCCUGAGGGCUGAGGGCAAGGAGAGAGUUGAGGACCAAGAGGGCUGCAUGGAGGCCAAAUGAAUCCUGGACAUGUGCUGGCUUCAUGGUCAUCUUCUACUUGAGAUAUUUUUCAGAUAAAUGGAAAAGUGUGGAAGAGAGAAAAAGCAAUCCAUAUUGAAAUCUCCCAAAUGUAACAGAUUUGGAGCCCAAGAACACAUCUUUUAGGGAGGAGGGAGUAUUGUCAUCCUAGAAGACAUUCCCUACGGCUUUUGGGCCAUUUGGAAAUGGAUGGAACAAGUGGAAUUGCUGUACCCAGUCCCAGUCCCCCUGAGCCGCAUCAUGCUGCACAUCCAAUGUUGUUUCUACACAUUUCUUUUAAGAAAAAUAAUAUUUCCAUGCACUUUUGAUUCUGUUAUGAGUAACAAUACCUGAUAGGCCAUAGGUGAUUUCAUUAACUGUUCUUUCUUUCCAGGUCACUAUGAAAGAUUGAUGAGUAAAUGUGAUAGCACCAACAUCUUUGAGCUUGAUGUGUACAUGCAUUGAAACAUGUAAGAAAUCAUACUUAUGAUUUAAGAACUUGGUACUUUAUUUUGGUAGGACCUGCCCUGUGGUACUGGGCCUGGGUCCUACAUUGUUCUGAUGUCAAUCCUACAGCUUGUGUUUUGUCUGUUAGUGGUAUCAUCUGGCAUUAUAUAGAGGCUUAGAAUGAAUAUACAUCUACAUAACUGAAAUGACAAAAUAAACUCUUGAAGGAACAGG